AUUUUGCCUGCAGGUAUGUCUAUGUUUAUGGACCACAUGUAUGCCUGGUACCCACAGAGUUCAGAAGAGGGCAUUGGAUCUCCUAGAACUGGAGUCACACAUAGAUGUAAAGCCACUGAGUAGAUGUUGGGAACUGAACCCAAAUUCUCUGCAAGAACAGCAAGUGCACUUAACUGCUGAGCCGUCUCUCUAGCCGAUCACAUUAUCUUUUGAGAGAGGGGUCUCUUUUACCUGCAACUGGUUGGCUGACAGCUAAAGAGCUCCAAGGGUUCACUUGUCUCCACCCCUGUGCCUCUGUGCCUGGCUUGUGAAUAGGUUGUGGGGGUUGCAGUUGAGUCUCCCUGCUUCUUUGGCAAGCACCUUACUGACUGAGCCAUCUUUUCUCAAGUAUACCCUUCAGCGGUAUUAAGUACCUCUUCUUUAUGAGGUAGCUGAACUCAGACAUCUUUUCAUCUUGCAAAACUAAAACCUGCCUCUUAAAUAAUAAGUUCUCAUUUCUCCCUCCCCCAGACCCUAGUCGUCUCUACUGUGCUCCCUGUCUCUUUGAGUUCCCUUCCUUUCAGGGCCUGAUGUAACCAGAAUCAUAAGAGAGCCGCCCUUUUGCAACUGGCUUAUUUCACUCAGUGUACAGUCUUCUAGAUUCAUCCAUAAUGGAACAUGGGUCAGAAUUUUCACCCUUUUCAAGACUAGAUGGUAUUCCAUCGAAUGGCUAAGACCACAUUGUCUUUAUCUGUGGUGGACAACAGGGCUCUUUCUACCUAUCCACACCUCUCUUUGAGGCUCUGAUUUUAGUUUUCCUAGGUAUAGCCCCUCCACUGCCAACCCAUACACACAGGUGGAAUUUCUGGAUCUUUGAGAAUCCUGCUUUUUUACUUUUGGAAGAACUGCCUCGGUGUCCUUUCAAAUCUUCUUACUAUUAAUGAAUAGUGCCUUUGAAUGAGAAUGACUCCCAUAGUCUCAUAUAUUUGAAUGUUAGGUCUCCAUUUGGUGGAACUGUUUGGGAAGGAUUAGGAGGUGUGGAAUUGUUAUGGGAAGGGUGUGUCAGUUGGGGAUGGGAUUUAAGGGAUUUAAGCCCAUGCCAGGCUGAGUCUCACUCUGCCUGCCUCUAACCUAAGGAUAAGCUAUAAGGACUAGGCUUCGGCUCUAGCACAAUGCUUAUCUGCUUGCUAAGGUGCUCCCCACCCUGAUGAUCAGCCCUGUGCAACUGUAGGCAAGACCUCAAUUAAAUGCUUCCUUUUAUAAGUCGCCUUUGUAAUGGUGUCUCUUCACAGCAAUAGACCAGUCACUAAAACAAGCGCACAAGGGUUCGGGUCUUUCCUGGUUUUCAGCCCCUUCACCCCUUUGGCUCUUUCCUUAUCAUAUGUCUCCCUGGCUGGCUUUGAGCUUAGAUACUUCCUGCCUACACAUCCCAAGGGCUAGGGUUUUAGGUGUGCACCACCAUGCCUGUUUUAAAAUUUUUAAACAGGUGGGGUUAAUUUUUUUUUUUUAAAAUAGAGGUAUUUUAAAGCUGCAAAUAGGUCCAACGUACUUUACUGUCAGUAGACUAAACACUGCUCUGUACUGAUGCACCUUCAUUUAGAGCUGGCCCUACCUGUUUCAUAGGUACUGAUGGCUGACGUUCUUAGAGACAGUGUUAGCCCUGUUUGUUCACACAGCAUCUCUUUGUAGUUGUAAUAGAUGCUGAACAAAAGCGCUAGGAAUCCACUUGUCAAGCUCCUCUUCUGGUGAGUGUCCAGAGAGGUGACCGCUCGGAAUCCCUUGGUGGCCGAGCUGCAUAGGGAUUUAGGUCUGCUAACUUUCAGAACAUUUCAGAGGACCUUCCGUUUGGCAAAGUGAGUUAGCACUUGCACUGGGUUUGCAUUCUGAGACAAUCUCAGAGGCGAGAGGCCCUGCAUCCUACCUCUGGACUGUGGAGGGGUCUAGGUCCUUCAGGUCUCAGGGACAUGGGCAGGGGAGAGAGGUCCCCUGUGCUCAGUCUUGUAGCUGACCUCAAUCCACACCUGGCUGACACCCCGGGUCUAUUUUUCAACACUCCAGAAGGCAUCGAGAGAGGCCAAAGGCUUGUCACAGAGGGGAUCUUGCUUAUAACAGACCACACAACAGUUUUAGGAUGUCUUGGUACUCAAGGACCCUCCCCAGUCCUGGGCUGGAACGUCAAUACCAAGGUGAGCAAGGAGGCCAGGUGAGGGAGCUUCCUGGAGCACUUUUGUUUGUGACUUUUUUUUUAAUCCACGUAAACUGAUAUUAGUGACAGCUCCCCAACCCCCAUGCUAGUUAGCUGUCCAAGUUUCCUUUGUUACAUAACCAGGAUUAAUUUAAGCAGCUCUUAUCCCUUCAUUCACAAGUGACAGGGAAGAGGAGUGACUAGGAGGGUCGGUGUUGCUCAUGGGACAGCCUGGGUGAAUUCCCUCAUUCCUCUGGGCCUUAGCUUUCCUUCCAUUAAGUGCAACGGCAGAAUGGAACAGCACCUCAGGUGUGCUGGAGUCUGCAGGUGUGUUUGUGGGUGGGCCCGCUCCCACCCUGGGCAGCUCUUGCAGGCCCCUUUCUCCAAGCAAGAAGAGUUGAAGGGAGGAAUCAGCAAACAUGACAGUUUCUAGGAGUUGGGUUUUUUUUUUUUUUUUUUGUUCCCAAAAAAUAAAAACCUGACUGCUCACUAGAGCUAAAGUAAAAAAGGAUUUAAUCUUCAUAGCCGUUCUAGAAGGUUGGUGCUCUGAGGAACCUCACACAGACAAGGAAACAAGCUGAGGAGAUGAGCCAUUGUCUGAGUUUACACUGGUAAAGGAAGAAGCCCCCGGGAUGUCCCAGUGCUCUGGCAGCCCUUGGACAGUGAGUCUGUAAUCAUCAGGAAGUGGCUAGGCCAAGCUCUUUUGCUAAGAGAGGAUAGGAAAUUAAUGCUGAGACCUGGGCCCCCCCAUCCAGGUUUCUGUGGCCGGGAGCCUGUUUUGUGAUUUCUUGUCAUCUAUUUUAUAGUCUAAUGGGAUUCUGUUCAAACCUGUCAUGAUAUCCUGUGUGUACCAGACCUUUAGCAGCUAGCUAAGAGAAACGCUCCUUCAGGGGAGGUGAAGCUUGUCUUAGUGGCUGAUUGAGGGGAGAGUCCCGGGCAUCCAUAUUAACCAGAGGUGGUUUUCCCUCUCUCAUAGAGGGAACAUAAGUAGGCUCUCCACAAGUAAUUGCAACAGAGAUGAACCCUUAUUGAAUACUUGGUCGCUGUACUAGCUGGCCAAUAUGCUUCCAUUCCCUCUUCAUUCGUCAUGGGAAGCAUGGGUGCACAAGAUAGGGAGGGCACUCUGCAGGUGAAGCAGCUAAAGGUCAGAGAGGUGACAUAAUUUACCAGGUUACAAAGUUGAACUAGGACUUCAAUGACUAGAUAGAUGGCAGAAGACCAGGCCAACUUUGUCUCCUUGGAUCUUGAUCCAGGUACAAGGUCUCAAAUCAGAUUGCACUCUGUAACUGAUGGAUGAGAUGAGCUGAGUAGAUGAACUUGAAACUAUCUCUGCCAGGAAUGAAGAUAUUCUAAAGAGCUGAGUCUGCCCCUCCCUUUGGCAGUCAGACUACUGAGACAAUGCAGCCUAAGGGAUUGGGAUCUUCCCCAGGCGUCUUAGCCUGAGAGAAAGGAGAAAGCCGCUGGCUGCCCUAACCGGAGGCAGAACAAAGCGGGAGGCCUGUGGGAACUCAAAUGAAAACUCUCUCAAGGCACACCUCCCCCUCCCCGCAAUGGGCUUCUGUGGUGCCUGCAUGGGGACUCUUCCACGUACGUUUCUUUUUCAUUGUGGCAUGCCCGGCCUACCUACGCUUUGCAGAAGUAACACACUGUUUCUCCAGUUCCUCUCAACAUCUUGUCCUUACUUGUGAAUGGAGUGUUUACAAGCCAUUCGACUCCUCAAGACUGGCUGAGUCAGUGAGAGGCCUCGGAAGUUCACUCUAGUGGCAGAGAGUUGAACUGUGUGUUUUGUAAGCAUUAGCCUUUGAAUACUGGGCCGUUUGGAAGAAUCCUUUUGGAAAACAGUGUUGAAAUUGAACUGCUGUUCUUUGGAUCCUGGUGCUGGCAAGGUGGCCAAGUGUCAUGGUCUCCGUACUGCCAGGAAGCUGCAUAGUCAUCUGUGGGAUUCAAAGAGGCAACAAUAUAAGAAAGCCCUCUUGGGCGUGGCCCUG